rnacentral:hammerhead_ribozyme from 1 species
CGACAUCCGAAGAGUCCCACAAGAGGACGAAACGGCCGUCCUGUUC